GAAAAAAAAAAAAAGAGGAAAAAGAAAAAGAAAAAAAAUCUGUGAAGUCUGUGUUCCAAUUUUGCGCCACUCUUCCACCAUUUCUCCCCUUUUCGAUUUCCCGUUUUCCUCUCUCCUCCUUUCCCUCCACUCAGCGUCCCCUUCAAAAUUCUCCAUUUUCCUACACAUUUCUGCUCCAUUUACUCAUUCAGUCAAUGCUUUUCUAGCUUUCUUCAAUGGCGGGAGGCCGAUUGACGCAUUUUCUCCGUCGCUACUCGUCCAAGCACACCAUUUCUCAGGUUAGGGUUUUACUCUCGAACCCUCUAUGUCAUUUUCACAAUUAUUCUUGUCCAAGUCAUGGUUUCGCUUCGUCUUGGAAUUCAAAGUCCUUAGUUAGACCUACGUCGUUGUCUAUACAGCAAAAACUUUAUCUUUAUGGUGCUAAGGGGCUUUCGACUUCCAAUGAGAGUGAAGUUAAUGGGGGGAAAUAUGAUGAUGUUAUUGAUAAUAGUGAUAUAGUUGCUAAUUUAGAUGGUUUAAUUGAUUCUGAUAUUGAUGAUAAUGAUAUAGUUGCUAAUUUAGAGGGUGUAAUUGAUUCUGAUAUCGAUGAUAGUGAUAUAGUUGCUAAUUUAGAUGGUUUAAUUGAUUCUGAUAUCAUCAAUGAGCAUGAUGUUGAUUAUGAUGACUUAAGUUCUUCUAGAAAGUAUGAAGGAUUUGAGCAUGUUGCUUCUCUUGAUCCUGCCGAAGUUUAUAGGCAGCUUUGUGAGUUGCCCAGGGAUGGGAAACUAGGUAGGGAAGAUUGGGAGUUGUUGCAUGAUAUAUUUGGGCGGUUAUCGCGGUCUGCUUGGGCGUCUAAUCAAGCUUUGGCUAUAUACAUUGGGGCGUCAUUUUUUCCAACUGCAGUACAUAAAUUCAGGGCCUUUUUCAUUAAACAUUGCCGGGAUGAUAUUGCGAAGUACUUACUUUCACUGGGACCUAGUGAUGAAGCGGAUAAGUUUUUAUUUCCUGUUUUUGUUGAAUUUUGCCUUGAGAAUUUUCCUGACGAGAUUACGAAGUUCCGGAGUAUGGUUGAUUCUGCUGAUCUUACUAAACCUUACACCUGGUUCCCCUUUGCGAGGGCAAUGAAACGCAAGAUUAUUUACCAUUGUGGGCCUACUAAUAGUGGGAAGACUUACAAUGCUUUGCAACGGUUUAUGGAAGCAAAGAAAGGGAUAUAUUGUAGUCCACUCAGGUUGUUGGCGAUGGAAGUUUUUGACAAGGUUAAUGCUCUUGGUGUUUAUUGUAGUAUGCUUACAGGACAGGAGAAGAAGCGUGUGCCCUUUUCCAACCAUGUUGCCUGCACGGUUGAAAUGGCAUCCACUGAUGAAAUGUAUGAUGUUGCUGUAAUUGAUGAGAUACAAAUGAUGGCUGACUCUUGCAGAGGAUUUGCGUGGACUAGGGCAUUGCUCGGUUUAAAGGCUGAUGAAAUACAUUUAUGUGGCGAUCCAAGUGUUCUAAAUAUUGUGCGGAAGAUUUGUUCAGAUACAGGAGACGAGUUGGUGGAACAGCACUAUGGUAGAUUUAAACCAUUGGUAGUUGAAGCUAAGACAUUGCAAGGGGAUCUUCGAAAUGUUAAGUCUGGUGAUUGUAUAGUCGCGUUCUCCAGGAGGGAGAUUUUUGAGGUCAAAUUGACUAUUGAAAAGCAAACAAAGCACCGUUGCUGUGUUAUUUAUGGUGCUUUGCCGCCAGAGACUCGCAGGCAGCAAGCUACUCUGUUCAAUGACCAAGAUAACGAAUAUGAUGUCUUAGUUGCUAGUGAUGCUGUAGGAAUGGGAUUGAAUCUUAACAUAAGAAGGGUAGUAUUCUAUACUCUUUCAAAGUACAAUGGGGACAAGGUUGUUCCCGUUCCAGCCUCACAGGUGAAACAAAUUGCAGGUAGGGCUGGUAGGAGAGGAAGUAUCUAUCCAGAUGGUCUCUGCACUACCUUGAAUUUGGAAGAUUUGGACUAUCUAAUUGAAUGUUUAAAACAACCUUUUGAGGAAGUUCAGAAAGUUGGUCUUUUUCCUUCUUAUGAGCAAGUUGAGUAUUUUGCGGGACAACUAUCUAAUACAACUUUCGCCCAACUUCUUGAAAAGUUUGCUGAAAAUUGUCGCCUUGAUGGAUCUUACUUUUUGUGUCAACAUGCUGGUAUAAAGAAGGUGGCUAAUAUGUUAGAGAAAGUUCAGGGUUUAUCACUUGAAGAUCGCUAUAAUUUUUGUUUUGCUCCUGUUAACAUUCGAGACCCUAAGGCAAUGUACCAUCUCCUCCGGUUUGCUUCGUCAUACAGCCAAGAGCUUCCUGUCAAUAUAGCAAUGGGCAUUCCUAAGGACUCUGCUAGAAAUGACUCAGAGCUACUGGAUCUUGAGACUAAGCACCAGGUUUGUUCUAUGUAUAUGUGGUUGUCAAACCAUUUUCAUGAAGAAAAAUUUCCGUAUAAGCUGAGGGCAGAAUCUAUGGCAUCUAGUAUUGCUGAAUUAUUGGGAGAAUCUUUAAGCAAAGUAUCCUGGGAACCUGAAUCGAGGGGCGAAAGUAAAAAGAAUCCUGAACAGAAGGAUGGAUAUGAAAGACCACAGUCACUUAUACAAAUAUUUGACAAGAAAAGGAAUGAUAAGUCCUCCAUUCCAGAUAAAUUUGAUAAAAAUAAGGUGGCUGCAAAGUUUACUAGAUGAUUCCGAAGAGAGCUUGGAGCCUUGAAGGAUAGAGAAACGUUGAAGAGAGAGAAAAUCCGUAUGAAGGAGAAGCCACCAGCACCAGUACACCACUACCUCGUCAACGAGCCCCAACCGCCACCCUUGUCAACUAACCUCGGCCCCACCCUCACCAACGACCUCCACCCACCACCAGUCACGCGAUAUAAAUCGGCCAAAACCACCUCAAAAACUCUAACCCUAACACCAACUUCUGUCAUGCGGUACAAAUACGACUUUAAAUGGUCGAAUUCGGCCAUGAAAACUCCAGAUCUGGAGUCGUGAUGGUCGAAUUUCACCAAAAAAUCCAGUGAAGGGCGGGUUGCGAUAGGAAGUGAUUUGGUUCGAAAGAUGAGAAUCAGUGAUCGGAUAAGGAAGCUUCAAGAGCUAGUUCCCGACAUGGAUAAGCAAUGUUGUUGUUUGAUUUGUAACUAUUCUGGCUCCAGUUGACUCUCCCAAUACUGAAGGUGUUGAUUCAGCUUUGCCUAUGCUUGUCACAAAGGAUACUCGAGGUAGAUGGGCGUUGUCCUGGAUGCAACAAAGCAAUAUGAUUUUGAAGGCAGGUGCAACUUUAGAUGUUGAGAUGAUUCGCUCUUGCAGCAAGAAUACAUGGUUUUAAGAGACUUGUCUAUACCAUGAUAUGUAUAUAGGCUUCUAUCAUAUAAAAAUUCUGUGAAGGUCGUCGACCUACGACGACUUUAAAACCUUAGAUAAAUCUGGACCGUUAAAUUAUGUUAAUUAAAUCGUAGCCAUCCAUCUAAUAAAUUA